rnacentral:lncRNA from 1 species
AUAUAUAUAUAUAUAUAUAUAUAUAUAUAUACAUAUAUAUAUAUACACACAUACAACACACACACACACACACACACACACACACACACACACACACACACACACACAUAUAUAUAUUCAUUCCCUUCCCCUUAUUCUCUCUGCAGAACUCUCUACUCUUGGCAGUUGUCCUGGGUUUGAUUUUGAGACACUUCUGUAUAGUAUCAGCUCUUGACUUGACUCUGCCUGUGAGAUUGACAGACCUUUGGCCAUUCAGAGGACCCAAGGGGCUUUGAAGGAUUGGAAGAGCUUUCUCAAAAGCAGCAAAAGGCAAAGAGACCUACAGGUUUGUGACAGUGGCCCCUCCCCUGCUCUCCCAUCUCCGGAACCCUGUGUGGGUGUGGCCCAAAUAGGAGCAGAAG